CUGAAAAAGAGAUCUAGAUCAGCCCCUGGAGACACGUUUCCUCAUGGCAGCAGAGUUUGAGGUACUAAUAAUGCAGGUAUCUUCUGCCUCUUCAGUACAACUAUUCCCCACAUCCACAGGGGAAUGAAGUUCAGCUACAAAGCAGGGCUUGGAAAUCAAAUCUCCCACCUGGCCAUGCCUAGUGUCCUAAAUCUGCCCACAUAUAUAAGACCAGACAAAAAAACCCUGUUAAAUGCUGCCUCUACAUUUAUUCAGCAGGGAUAUUUCCUUUACAAGACAAUCUAGCUCAAGCUCUGUGAGCCAUUAUUAAAAUCAGAAAGAUUUAUCGUGGUGUAUUUCCUCUGGCUUUGGUAAUUGGCUUAUGAACUUUUUUCAAAGGUUUCUAAGACCUGCAAGUAUCACACCUUGGUUUGGGGGGAAAAUCCAGGUAUUUUGCAGGCAUUGGUAUUGCAUACAUCACCUUUGUAAGUUCUCUGUACUGCAGGCUGGAUAUCAGUCAAUAGCUCGGUGUUACUGUACAACUGGUUCAUGUAAAGAUGAAAAAUGUGAGGGGCCAGAAUAAAGAGUCAGCUCAGCUUUGUCCAGUAUAGACAUUCACAUAUGCCAUUUUAAAAUCUUGACUCCCAUUCACUGAUUCCAUCCUAUCGCUCCACUGAAUGGAGCAUGUGAAAACAAACAUUCUCACGUUGCCUAAUGUUCUAGGGUGAGUUUUGCCUGAACGGUUUUUGUGUUCUGCAGGAGAGGAACAGUUUUGAAACUUAUCCUGACUGAUUUUUCUGCUUUUGUGCUUCAUGUAAAAAUUACACAUAACACAGCCUCAGCUGAUGCACCUGAAGGAAUGUUCCUGCUUAGAGAAAAAACAGCCACAGCUUCUAAGAGAAGUAAUAUUUUUAGCAUGGAGAAGACUUCCUACUUAAGUAGCUCACAGAACUGCUCCUUGAGAAAAUAUGGCUUUCAGAAUUUAUGGGUUUAUUACAAUUUCAUUUCUAAAAAUAAAGACUAUAAUGAGUAACAAAACUAGGAGUUUCCUAAUGGAUUACUUUUUAAUUUGAAGCAUUGAGAUGUACAGACAUCAAGAUUAAUACCCAGCUUGUUGUAGCCUGGAACUGUGUCAUAUGAAACUGAAGUAUUUCAGAAUUCCAGAUUUUUUCACUAGCAAAGAGUCACAAUUUAAGUGACAAAAGAUUCCUCCUAAAAUUUAUGAAAAUUAGUUUAUUACCUCAUAUCUCAUUUCAGUGGAGAUGAGAGAUGUUGUAAUGGGAUCCAGCUCCAGCUAAGGUCUCAAUGUUAAGAGGUUUUGAUCCUGGUAGUGGCCAAGCACCUUUGGUUAUCUUUCAGUGCACACCACAGCACUAACAGUGAGUAUGCAAAGAUCUGGCAAAAGCUCCAUUUGCUAUUAACACCUAAUGCACUACCCAGCAUGUUCCAGCCCCCUGAUAGCAGACAGGAUUUUGCAUUUCUGCCCCACCUAAAAAUCACUUAGCUGGAUAAUACUGUCUACAGCUUAGCUAUCAAUAUUUGUAUUCCAUCAGAAAGGCAUUUCUUUUAAUCAUAAUGAUUCCAAGGAAUGCAAAGUUCUGGACUCAGGAAUUUACCCAGGUCAGUGCUCUACAAAACCAAACAUUUUCUCAUUGCCAGCUGGAAAAAAUUUCACAGAUUUCUUUGAGUAUUACAAAAUAACUGCAUUUGCACUGAGCAGGCUUUCCCCCCUCCACCUAGACUUGAAUUGCACAACAUAAAGGCAGCAUAAAAUAUUUGCUCUCUGAUUCCACAUAAAGAACUUCAGCUUUCUCUGGAAACUUAGAGCUCUUUGGAAGACAAACACCCCACAAUGAAGAGCUUUCUGGCUUUCCUUGUUGCAAUGGGCAUCACAGUGACCCUGAGCGAUGCAGACUGCGAUGCUUCACUUCGAAAACCAGGGUGGCCCUACAGAGGCUGUUUGAGGGAUGGAAAAGUGUAUCCCUUUGGACACAUUGAGAGGACAGAAGAUUGCUACACAUGCAACUGCCACGAAAGAGGAAUGGAAUGCUGUUCCCUGUGGCCAUUCCUUUUUGCUUUCUCAAAGAGAGGGAAAACAAUUCUCCUAGCUCAAGUUUGCUCUCAGAAAGUGAUAAAUUACUUUCAAGAAGUAUUCUAAGACAUUGUGGGGGUUUUAGAGCAGGGUUUCCUGGGAUUACAUCUUCACACCACUGCAUAGUGCAUACGUUAUUACAAACUAAACAGCCUAAGUACAAUUCUGGUGAAACCUGCCAGAGAUGCAAGUCACAAAAUCUCUCAUGGUGUUCUGUUCUAUUUCCUGCCCAUCUCAAUCGGACAGGAAGGGUGUGGGACAAGAAAUGGCAGGAAGCAGGAUUUUUCACAUUACAGAGGAAAACAGAAAAGAAAAAAGAGAAGAGGUCCCAAAAGACAAGAUAUCCUUUGGAUUUGGCUGAAGAAUUCUGUGGUUGCCUUCACCAUCCCAGUCUGAGUCCUGCUACAAUAACUUCCAACCAUGGCAUUUAGUCUUCAUGGAAUCAGCAACUUAUAGUUCUAAAAAUGGAAAAAAGCUCAUGCUCUCUAAAUAGAACUGAAGUGUAAUGUAGGUGGGAUAUACACAAAAUUAACUGAAUUUCCCCAGAAAUAAAUACAAAGGAUGCUGAACUAAAUAACUCUAGGUAUGAAAUUGAAGUUAAGCCUUCUUUCAUUUUGUGUACACAUGGGCAGCUUGUGCUCAAGAUGCAAGAGCAGAUAAUUUGCUACACCUGGAGGACCAAAGGCAUGUUCCCAAUGCCAGUGUGGCCAGAGCAGUGUCCACUGUUGCACCUUGUAAGAUCCAAAAAAGCAGAGGCACUAGUGGACAGAACUACAGCAAUGCUUCCAACCUGCCACCCUUCCUACAGCUAAUUCCUUAAGUCACGGCUCCACAGAAAGACUUUUUUUACAGACAUAUGCUCUUUAUUUGCUUAAUCAGCUGCAGGUAAAGAUAAAAAGCUGUGUUUGGAAUCACUGUCAUUUUUUGAAUUUGUGGAAUAAACUUUUCUGUCAUUUUUCUGGUUCACUGAAGAUUUCUAAGACUUUUUUUUUAACUACACUUCUUGAGAUGGAAGGUAGAAGUACAGGAUAUUUAGCUUUUCCCAUAAGCUGGAGAUACCUUUUUUGCCAAAUCUGCCACUCCUAUUCAUUUUGAUUUACUGCCUCUGGACUUUUGUUCUUGCUGGUACCGCAUCUGUGGCCAUCUCCCACAGUUCUACCCACGCUUCAGAGAUGGAGGUCUCCUCAUUGCACGCACAGUCAGGUAUUUGUGAUUGGCCCUAUAGAUGUUUUUGUCUGUCUCAAUGUCCCUUGCUUAGCACUGAUCCUUUUUUCUGGGAUCAUGAUCUGACAGGAUUUUCCAGGCUAGCUGAGAAAUUAUCACGUUUUGAAAAUGCAUUCGCACCAAGAUAAAAAAUUAGGUGUUUCUCAUCCCACUGAAACUGCAUUGAAUUAAAACUGAAAUUGGACUCAUGGAUGGGGACUUGGCUACACAUGGAAGAAGGCAGGUGUGUUCAGAUCAGAGAAGAAAUUAUAUUAUUUUCUCAAGCUUGGGUCUCCCCAUGUUGAAUUGAGGUCUCAGUUCAAGUUUCUGCUCUGCCACCUGGGACAGAGCAGGUUACUGUUCUCUUACCCUCCUCUGUUACCUGGGACAAAUUGCUCACACUGCCUGUGUACCUUGCUAUAAAAUUAGAACAAUUCUUCGAUAAUUCCUGUCCUGGGAGAGAUCUGAGGGCCUAGGCUUUGAGGUUUGUAGGUAUAUGAACCUUAGACUUAAGAAAAGUGUUCCCACCAAAAUAAAAUUUCCUCCUACCACCUUUACAAUGUGAUCUUGUGUAAACAGUACACUGUAUAUUCCAGUGUUUGUAUGUGCCUUUCCUUAACACAGUUGUCCUUUCUCAUACACAAAAGGGACAGACUUUAAUAAAGUAAAGCCAAUGUACAUUAUACGUAGCAUUAUCAGUUUAAUGUCAAGAAGAGUUUAUUUGUAAAAUC